rnacentral:misc_RNA from 1 species
GCGAGUUAAUUACAAACUCCAAACCCAUGUGAACAUACCUACUGUUGCCUCGGCAGGCCGUGCUGCGCGGCUGGAUCGCCUCCCCCGCGUGGGCAGCUACCCUGGAGUAGCUACCCUGUAGCGGGAGCGGCCCGCCCCGCGGCGCGCCAACAGGCCUGCCGAAGGACCCCUAAACUCUGUUUCGCACCUGUAUCUCUGAGUUUAUUAUACAAAUAAGUUA